rnacentral:rRNA from 1 species
UCAUUCCUACGGGGGGCAGCAGUGGGGGAUAUUGCACAAUGGGCGCAAGCCUGAUGCAGCGACACCGCGUGAGCGAAGAAGUAUUUCGGUAUGUAAAGCUCUAUCAGCAGGGAAGAAAAUGACGGUACCUGACUAAGAAGCUCCGGCUAAAUACGUGCCAGCAGCCGCGGUAAUACGUAUGGAGCAAGCGUUAUCCGGAAUUACUGGGUGUAAAGGGAGCGUAGACGGCUGUGCAAGUCUGGAGUGAAAGGCGGGGGCCCAACCCCCGGACUGCUCUGGAAACUGUAUGGCUGGAGUGCAGGAGG